CUGCUUGCCUGUACUCCAUCCUGCCACCCUGUGAAGAAGGUUCCUGCUUCUCCUUUACCUUCUGCCAUGACUGAAUGGUUCAAUAACAUUCAGUGCCCUAAAGGAGGAAAGGAGAUUGUAGUAUACUCAACUGAAUUAAGAAGAAAGACCUUCCAAUCUUCUUGUCAGGCCUCUGAGCCCAAGCUAAACCAUCGUAUGCCCUGUGACCUGCAUAUAUAUGUCCAGAUGGCCUGAAGCAAGUGAAGAAUCACAAAAGAAGUGAAAAUGGCCUGUUCCUGCCUUAACUGAUGACAUUCCACCAUUGUGAUUUGUUUCUGCCCCACCUUAACUCAGCGAUUAACCUUGUGAAAUUCCUUCUCCUGGCUCAGAAGCUCCCCCACUGAGCACCUCGUGACACCCCCACCCCUGCCCACAAGAGAAAAAACCCCCUUUGAUUGUAAUUUUCCACUACCCACCCAAAUCCUAUAAAAUGGCCCCACCCCUAUCUCCCUUUGCUGACUCUCUUUUUGGUCUCAGCCCGCCUGCACCCAGGUGAUUAAAAAGCUUUAUUGCUCACAC
rnacentral:lncRNA from 1 species